rnacentral:rRNA from 1 species
AGAGUUUGAUCCUGGCUCAGAACGAACGCUGGCGGCGCGUUUUAAGCAUGCAAGUCUAAGGGGUGUAGCAAUACAUCACUGGCGAACGGGUGAGUAACACGUGAGAAUCUAUCUUAUGAUGGGGGAUAGCCGGUAGAAAUACCGGGUAAUACCGCAUAUGCCGUGAGGCGAAAGCUGCUUUUGCAGCGUCAUGAGGUGAGCUUGCGGUUCAUUAGCUAGUUGGUAGGGUAAAGGCCUACCAAGGCUACGAUGGAUAGCCGGCCUGAGAGGGUGAACGGCCACAUUGGGACUGAGACACGGCCCAGACUCCUACGGGAGGCAGCAGCUAAGAAUAUUCCGCAAUGGGAGAAAUCCUGACGGAGCGACGCCGCGUGAACGAUGAAGGCCGAAAGGUUGUAAAGUUCUUUUAUACGGGAAGAAUAAGGUUAGGAGUAGAAAGCCUAAUCGAUGACGGUACCGUAUGAAUAAGCCCCGGCUAACUACGUGCCAGCAGCCGCGGUAAUACGUAGGGGGCAAGCGUUGUUCGGAUUCAUUGGGCGUAAAGGGCAUGUAGGCGGCUGGAUAAGUGUGGAUUUAAAGACCGAGGCUUAACCUCGUGUAUGGUCUGCAAACUGUCCGGCUAGAGUGCGGUAUGGGAAACUGGAAUUCCACGUGUAGGGGUGAAAUCUGUAGAGAUGUGGAAGAAUACCUGUGGCGAAAGCGAGUUUCUGAUCUGCAACUGACGCUGAGAUGCGAAAGUGUGGGGAGCGAACAGGAUUAGAUACCCUGGUAGUCCACACUGUAAACGUUGUACACUAGGUGUUAAUGGUUAAACUGUUAGUGCCGUAGCUAACGCGAUAAGUGUACCGCCUGGGGAGUAUGCUCGCAAGGGUGAAACUCAAAGGAAUUGACGGGGGCCCGCACAAGCGGUGGAGCAUGUGGUUUAAUUCGACGAUACGCGAAAAACCUUACCAGGGCUUGACAUUUAGUCGACGGAUACAGAGAUGUAUCUUCCCUUCGGGGCGGCUAAACAGGUGCUGCAUGGCUGUCGUCAGCUCGUGUUGUGAGAUGUUGGGUUAAGUCCCGCAACGAGCGCAACCCUUACUGCUAGUUGCCAACAGGUUAAGCUGGGGACUCUAGCGGAACUGCCGGUGACAAACCGGAGGAUGGUGGGGAUGACGUCAAGUCCUCAUGGCCCUUAUGUCCUGGGCUACACACGUGCUACAAUGGAUUGUACAAAGGGUAGCAAUACUGCAAGGUGGAGCCAAUCCCAAAAAGCAAUCCGUAGUUCAGAUUGGAGUCUGCAACUCGACUCCAUGAAGCUGGAAUCGCUAGUAAUCACAGAUCAGCAUGCUGUGGUGAAUACGUUCCCGGGCCUUGUACACACCGCCCGUCACACCAUCCGAGUCGAGGAUACCCGAAGUUGUUACCCUAACCGCAAGGAGGGGGGCACCUAAGGUAUGUUUGGUGAGGAGGGUGAAGUCGUAACAAGGUA